rnacentral:pre_miRNA from 1 species
UUGGGAUUUGGGACUAACUGAAUUGGGAUUCAGUUGGAGUUGGUUACAGAAGUUCAACUGAAUUGGGAUUCAGUUGAACCUUUUUCAGUUGUAAUUCUCUGUUCUGAGUUCUUCUUCUGUAACCAACUCUAACUGAAUUCCAAUUCAAUUAGUCCCAAAUCCCAA